GAUGAACGCUGGCGGCGUGCCUAAUACAUGCAAGUCGAGCGAACGGACGAGGAGCUUGCUUUUCUUAUGUUAGCGGCGGACGGGUGAGUAACACGUGGAUAACCGACCUAUAAGACUGGGAUAACUUCGGGAAACCGGAUCUAAUACCGGAUAAUAGUUUGAACCGCAUGGUUCAAAAGUGAAAGACGGUUUUGCUGUCACUUAUAGAUGGAUCCGCGCUGCAUUAGCUAGUUGGUAAGGUAACGGCUUACCAAGGCUACGAUGCAUAGCCGACCUGAGAGGGUGAUCGGCCACACUGGAACUGAGACACGGUCCAGACUCCUACGGGAGGCAGCAGUAGGGAAUAUUGCGCAAUGGGCGAAAGCCUGACGGAGCAAAGCCGCGUGAGUGAAGAAGGUCUUCGGAUUGUAAAACUCUUUUAUUAGGGAAGAACAUAAGUGUAAGUAAACGUGGACAUUUUGACGGUACCUAAAGAGAAAGCCACGGCUAACUUCGUG
rnacentral:rRNA from 1 species